rnacentral:sRNA from 1 species
AUAUUCUGCCCCACGGGCAAGGAUGAGAAGCUUCGACUAAGGUUCGACUCGAGCGAAGCGAGAGAACGUUGCCGCAGGCAACGGCCCGAAGGGCGAGGAGCGAUAGCGACGAGUUAUCCUUCCCCCACCACUG